rnacentral:rRNA from 1 species
UGGGGAAUAUUGCACAAUGGGCGCAAGCCUGAUGCAGCCAUGCCGCGUGUGUGAAGAAGGCCUUCGGGUUGUAAAGCACUUUCAGCUGGGUUGAAGGCGAUAAGGUUAAUAACCUUGUCGAUUGACGUUACCCGCAGAAGAAGCACCGGCUAACUCCGUGCCAGCAGCCGCGGUAAUACGGAGGGUGCAAGCGUUAAUCGGAAUUACUCGGCGUAAAGCGCACGCAGGCGGUCUGUCAAGUCGGAUGUGAAAUCCCCGGGCUAAACCUGGGAACUGCAUUCGAAACUGGCAGGCUAGAGUCUUGUAGAGGGGGGUAGAAUUCCAGGUGUAGCGGUGAAAUGCGUAGAGAUCUGGAGGAAUACCGGUGGCGAAGGCGGCCCCCUGGACAAAGACGGACGCUCAGGUGCGAAAGCGUGGGGAGCAAACAGG